rnacentral:misc_RNA from 1 species
GUUGGGGAAUACCCAUCCGCGCGGCUUAGCCGUGGUGUCACCGGGCCAGAUGACGCUGUACAUCUGCUGCUGCUGCUGGGUGGUCGUGUUAUUGGAGUUGGGCGGCGGCCCUCCGUCGGCGAGCAGCCUGGGCGCCUCCACCGACAGGCGCGUGUAGUUGGACCAGUAGGCGACCCGGCGGACGCCCGUGCCACCGACGUUGAGGAUCUCGUAGGCGGGGUUGAUGAGGGUCGCGCCCCCGCUCCCAUCGGCGUCCAACUGGAACCGGACGCUGCCCGUGACGCCAGUGAAGUUGGCGAGCAUGACCUUCCGA